GAAAAGAAGAGUCUCUGUUUCUGAGAAAGAAGACGGAUCAGAAGCGGAAAUCCAAAGAAGACAUUAACUGCUUGUUUCCAUUCUUGUUUUCAAGAAUAAGAAGAAAAGACUCUCUGGGUUUCCUUCCAUUGUUUUCAUUCUUCUGCAAAUCGCUUCCCUUUCCUUGCUUCCGUGAUAAGAAAAAGAGAGAUUCAAUCUCUGUGUUUUCUUUUAGGCCUUCUCUGUUCCAAACCGAGAGAAGGGAUUUACAGUUUGUCUCCGUUCUUCUUUCCAAAUAGAAGA
rnacentral:lncRNA from 1 species